AAUUAUUUAUAGCCUCUGGCUAUAGGAAACUGUUAGUGGCAGACGGGUGAGUAAUGCGUAGGAAUCUACCUAGUAGCACGGAAUAGCCAUUAGAAAUGGUGGGUAAUACUGUAUAAUCCCCGAGGGGGAAAGAUUUAUCGCUAUUAGAUGAGCCUACGUUAGAUUAGCUAGUUGGUGAGGUAAUGGCUUACCAAGGCUAUGAUCUAUAGCUGGUCUGAGAGGACGAUCAGCCACACUGGAACUGAGAUACGGUCCAGACUCCUACGGGAGGCAGCA
rnacentral:rRNA from 1 species